GGGUUGUGAGGUUAAGCGACUAAGCGUACACGGUGGAUGCCCUGGCAGUCAGAGGCGAUGAAGGGCGUGCUAAUCUGCGAUAAGCGCCGGUAAGGUGAUAUGAACCGUUAUAACCGGCGAUACCCGAAUGGGGAAACCCAGUGUGACUCGUCACACUAUCAUUAACUGAAUCCAUAGGUUAAUGAGGCGAACCGGGGGAACUGAAACAUCUAAGUACCCCGAGGAAAAGAAAUCAACCGAGAUUCCCCCAGUAGCGGCGAGCGAACGGGGAGGAGCCCAGAGCCUGAAUCAGCAUGUGUGUUAGUGGAAGCGUCUGGAAAGGCGCGCGAUACAGGGUGACAGCCCCGUACACAAAAGCGCAUGUGCUGUGAGCUCGAUGAGUAGGGCGGGACACGUGGUAUCCUGUCUGAAUAUGGGGGGACCAUCCUCCAAGGCUAAAUACUCCUGACUGACCGAUAGUGAACCAGUACCGUGAGGGAAAGGCGAAAAGAACCCCGGCGAGGGGAGUGAAAAAGAACCUGAAACCGUGUACGUACAAGCAGUGGGAGCACAGGUUUACCUGUGUGACUGCGUACCUUUUGUAUAAUGGGUCAGCGACUUAUAUUCUGUAGCAAGGUUAACCGAAUAGGGGAGCCGGAGGGAAACCGAGUCUUAAUUGGGCGUUAAGUUGCAGGGUAUAGACCCGAAACCCGGUGAUCUAGCCAUGGGCAGGUUGAAGGUUGGGUAACACUAACUGGAGGACCGAACCGACUAAUGUUGAAAAAUUAGCGGAUGACCUGUGGCUGGGGGUGAAAGGCCAAUCAAACCGGGAGAUAGCUGGUUCUCCCCGAAAGCUAUUUAGGUAGCGCCUCGUGAAUUCAUCUCCGGGGGUAGAGCACUGUUUCGGCUAGGGGGCCAUCCCGGCUUACCAACCCGAUGCAAACUGCGAAUACCGGAGAAUGUUAUCACGGGAGACACACGGCGGGUGCUAACGUCCGUCGUGAAGAGGGAAACAACCCAGACCGCCAGCUAAGGUCCCAAAGUCAUGGUUAAGUGGGAAACGAUGUGGGAAGGCCCAGACAGCCAGGAUGUUGGCUUAGAAGCAGCCAUCAUUUAAAGAAAGCGUAAUAGCUCACUGGUCGAGUCGGCCUGCGCGGAAGAUGUAACGGGGCUAAACCAUGCACCGAAGCUGCGGCAGCGACGCUGAUGCGUUGUUGGGUAGGGGAGCGUUCUGUAAGCCUGCGAAGGUGGCCUGUGAGGGUUGCUGGAGGUAUCAGAAGUGCGAAUGCUGACAUAAGUAACGAUAAAGCGGGUGAAAAGCCCGCUCGCCGGAAGACCAAGGGUUCCUGUCCAACGUUAAUCGGGGCAGGGUGAGUCGACCCCUAAGGCGAGGCCGAAAGGCGUAGUCGAUGGGAAACGGGUUAAUAUUCCCGUACUUGGUGUUACUGCGAAGGGGGGACGGAGAAGGCUAUGUUGGCCGGGCGACGGUUGUCCCGGUUUAAGCGUGUAGG
rnacentral:rRNA from 1 species